CCUACGGGAGGCAGCAGUGAGGAAUAUUGGUCAAUGGACGAGAGUCUGAACCAGCCAAGUAACGUGAAGGAUGACUGCCCUAUGGGUUGUAAACUUCUUUUAUAUGGGAAUAAAACGUUCCACGUGUGGGAUUUUGUAUGUACCCUAUGAAUAAGGAUCGGCUAACUCCGUGCCAGCAGCCGCGGUAAUACGGAGGAUCCGAGCGUUAUCCGGAUUUAUUGGGUUUAAAGGGAGCGUAGGUGGAUUGUUAAGUCAGUUGUGAAAGUUUGCGGCUCAACCGUAAAAUUGCAGUUGAAACUGGCAGUCUUGAGUACAGUAGAGGUGGGCGGAAUUCGUGGUGUAGCGGUGAAAUGCUUAGAUAUCACGAAGAACUCCGAUUGCGAAGGCAGUUCACUGGACUGCAACUGACACUGAGGCUCGAAAGUGUGGGUAUCAAACAGGAUUAGAUACCCUAGUAGUC
rnacentral:rRNA from 1 species